UGGACCUGGACCUCAGAGGCCUGUGGUUU
rnacentral:piRNA from 2 species